rnacentral:rRNA from 1 species
CUGCUAUCGGGGUUCGAUUAAGCCAUGCGAGUCGAGAGGUGCUACAAGACCUCGGCGCGCUCAGUAACACGUGGAUAACCUACCCUCAGGUGGGGGAUAACCCCGGGAAACUGGGGAUAAUACCCCAUAGACCAGGGACGCUGGAAUGCCCCCUGAUCGAAAGGUCCGCCGCCUGAGGAUGGGUCUGCGGCCGAUUAGGUUGUUGUUGGGGUAACGGCCCAACAAUUUGAUCGGUACGGGUUGUGAGAGCAAGAGCCCGGAGAUGGAUUCUGAGACACAAAUCCAGGCCCUACGGGGCGCAGCAGGCGCGAAAACCUUUACAAUGCGAGAAAUCGUGAUAAGGGAACCCCGAGUGCCCGUAAAUUCGGGCUGUCCAUCAGCGUAAAAAACUGGUGAAGAAAGGGCCGGGCAAGACCGGUGCCAGCCGCCGCGGUAAUACCGGCGGCUCGAGUGGUGGCCACUAUUACUGGGCUUAAAGCGUCCGUAGCUGGAUUGUUAAGUCUCUUGGGAAAUCCGCCGGCUUAACCGGCGGGCGUUCAGGAGAAACUGGCAAUCUAGGG